UUUUUUUAAAUGUGUACUAAAUGUGUUUAUACUUAUUUUUAGACAUUGGGUUCUUCAGUGAAGGAAAAAUUACAACAGUGGAAUCUCAUACAUUAAACAUCCACAUGCCAAUUAACUGAAAUAUUUCAAGAGGAAGGAGUCAAUGAAGGAAGUUUUAUGCGACCGGAUGACACCAGCAUUGCUGCACUAACUCCAAGAGAAGAAGUUUUUAGCAUUUUCAACGGUGAAACAGUGGAACAGAAGACCUUACUACAAGCAGUGGAUCUGUGUUUCAGACAUUUCUACAUUUAUGACAUCUACUACCCAAAGCUCCUCUGCACCCAUUUGCAGCACACAGUCUUUAAUAUUCCAGGAGUUCUUUCAACACAUUACCUCUUCCUUAGAAACUUUGUAUUUAUUGAUCCGUAAAAACUUUUUAUGUUGCUGAUUAUCAGCAAGUCCAGCAGCCAGCAGAUUUACUUUGUUUUAUUAUUAUUAUUAUUAUUAUUAUUAUUACUUGUGUUUAUGAUUUUUUAUUUUUGUUUUAUUGAUAAAAGUUUGUAUGUUAUGUUUGUUUUAUUUGUGCACAUUUGUGUAUGUGUUGAUAUAAAUAAAUAUGAAUUGAUACACAUUUAUGACCCUGGACAACAAAACCGGUCAUAAGUAUCAUGGGUACAUUUGUAGAAAUAGCCAAAAUUGCAUUGUAUGGGUCAAAAUUAUCAAAUUUUCUUUCAUGCCAAAAAUCAUUAGAAUAUUAAGUAAAGAUCAUGUUCCAUGGAGAUAUUUUGUAAAUCUCCUACCAUAAGUAUAUUGAAACUGAAUUUAUUAUUAGUAAUAUGUGUUGCUAAUAACUUCACUUGGACAACUUUAAAGGCAAUUUUCUCAAUAUUUAGAUUUUUUU